rnacentral:rRNA from 1 species
GAUGAACGCUGGCGGCGUGCCUAAUACAUGCAAGUCGAGCGAACGGACGAGAAGCUUGCUUCUCUGAUGUUAGCGGCGGACGGGUGAGUAACACGUGGAUAACCUACCUAUAAGACUGGGAUAACUUCGGGAAACCGGAGCUAAUACCGGAUAAUAUUUUGAACCGCAUGGUUCAAAAGUGAAAGACGGUCUUGCUGUCACUUAUAGAUGGAUCCGCGCUGCAUUAGCUAGUUGGUAAGGUAACGGCUUACCAAGGCAACGAUGCAUAGCCGACCUGAGAGGGUGAUCGGCCACACUGGAACUGAGACACGGUCCAGACUCCUACGGGAGGCAGCAGUAGGGAAUCUUCCGCAAUGGGCGAAAGCCUGACGGAGCAACGCCGCGUGAGUGAUGAAGGUCUUCGGAUCGUAAAACUCUGUUAUUAGGGAAGAACAUAUGUGGAAGUAACUGUGCACAUCUUGACGGUACCUAAUGAAAAAGCCACGGCUAACUUCGUG